UUACCAAUCAUCCAAGUCUACACUCCCCCAACUUGGAGAGAAGAAAAAAGAACCUAUUGCCAGGCCUUUUUGGAAAAGAAUCUCUUAGACUAAAUGAGAGAGGAGAAGAUGGCUGCUGGGGUGGGAGUGAGUGAGAAAGGGAACAGCAUGGGAGCCACAGUGAGUGAUAGUUUACAGCUGCAUAAGUUUUACUCCAGAAUUCACCUCCAACUUUCUGCAAUCAACACCACUACAGUCCAGCCCUGACCUCUGCCAGCUUGGAAGACACUCUGCAACCAGGGAGGGAAAAGAAUCAGCUGACCCAGAAAAGGAACGGGCCAGUUCUGAGGACGUUCCACAGAUGGGGAAGGCAUUCAAAUAAGGCCAUGUGGACAAGACUUCAGAUAAAAUAGAAAGAUAUAUACAAAAUCAAAAUAUGAACAUCAAGCCGCUUCUGACCCUUGGAUAAAAUGAUCAUGAAUUCAUAUGGGAUAUCAGCAUGAUGGCUUUAUUCAGUGACUAAGCAUUUGAACUCUGAAUUUUGCUAUCUUAAUUGCAACUGUGUAAUUGAAAUUAAAUGACAACACAGAAGAUCCCAGCUAUAUGAUAAAUGACCAUUC